UUUCGAAUCAUUCACAAUGGGGGAAACCCUGAUGGUGCAACGCCGCGUGGAGGAUGACGGCCUUCGGGUUGUAAACUCCUGUCACCAAGGAACAAACGGCAGGUUCAUAGCCUGUCCUGAGUUAACUUGGAGAGGAAGAGGUGGCUAACUCCGUGCCAGCAGCCGCGGUAAUACGGAGACCUCGAGCGUUACUCGGAUUCACUGGGCGUAAAGAGUAUGUAGGCGGUUUGGUAUGUCAGGUGUGAAAUCCCAGGGCUCAACCCUGGAACUGCGCCUGAAACUACCAAACUCGAGUCCUGGAGAGGGGAGUGGAAUUCCUGGUGUAGCGGUGAAAUGCGUAGAUAUCAGGAGGAACACCAAAGGCGAAGGCAGCUCCCUGGACAGGCACUGACGCUGAGAUACGAAAGCGUGGGUAGCGAAAGGGAUUAGAUACCCCCGUAGUCC
rnacentral:rRNA from 1 species